GGCAGCAUGGCCGAGUGGUCAGGGCGUCGGACUUGUAAUCCGGAGGUUUUAAUUAAUUAAAUUAAUAAUUAAUUAGUCCCGGGUUCAAGUCCUCCAUCCUGCCA